CCCAAGGGAUCCUGCCUCUUUGUAGUGACCUAUGUUUAAAGCCCCUCCCACAUUCUACCAGCUUUGGUCUGUGUGGCCCAUAAAACAGGGAAAGAGCAAUGGUAAAUUUUAACACACCAAGACAGAAAGAAAGGCAAGAAAGCAAACAAGCAAGAAAGAAACAAAGAAAUUGGCAUGUUUGAGUGUGGGUGUAUGCAUAAGCAACUCAUAUAUGGAUAAUUUUUCCAAGGUCAUAUGGGAUUCCUGAUGCUUAUUUUAAAAUGUAAUCAAGACGUAGGCAUGAUAAAACAGUAUGUUGUAGGUUCCAGCAGAGAGAAAGUAAAAUAAUGGAAGGAAG